GUUGAGCGUCAGGUUGUAUCCAGCUCCAUCUGCGAUGCCUUGUACAACUGAAGAUCGUUGGAAUUAGAUACCCUGCAGAUCUCAGCAGUUCUCCUUAAAACAGGAGAACACUGGACCAGUUGGUUAAUCACUUCAAAGUCUCAGCACCAUGUCCCAGGGCCUACGAGAGUUGGAGGCUGAGGAGGAAUGCCCUGCAGCUAACAAAGCAGAAGGGCAAAGGAGCCAGGAACAGAUGUGACCUGUGAAGGAAGAGCAGAGGAGAGGGCCCACAUGCUUGUGAACUGGGAGGAACUGGGCAGUUCUUUGAAUGUGCGCAAUCAACUAUUGCCAUAGACUCAUACUAUCACAGUUUGCAAACAUUGACAGAGCAUUUAGAAUGCAUUGGGAACAUAAAGACUUCAAGAAACACGAAGAUGAAUAUUACAUAUUCUGUGAUUUCAGUAUAUGCCCAGAGGAAAUGAAAACAGGAUACUGAAGAGAUACCUGCACUCCCAUGUUUAUUGCAGCAUCAUGCACAAUAGCCAAGAUAUGCAAACAACCUAAGUGCCAUCCUGCCAUUUGUGACUACAUGGAUGGACCCUGAAAGCAUUACGGUAAAUGAGAAAAUGUCAGCUGGGCAGAGAGCAUGAUAAAGCCAACCUAAGAAGUAAGAAGUCUUCAAGAGGAGAAAGAAGGAGCUGGAAAGUGAAAAAUCUGAAGAUCUUAUGGCCAGAGAUUGAGAUACUCUAGGUGAAACACCUUCAGAUGAUUUUACCAGAGCUACAUCCCUGGAAAAGUAGAUGGGAAUCAGCAAACUCCAACUUGCAAACUACAAGAAAUUAGUAUUUCCCGGUGAAUAGAGUUUGCGGCAUGAAAUGAUAAGAGGGAAGACUCAACAGAUAAGAAAGAGGCUGAUUAUGGAGAUCAAGAACCUCUUCUCAACUCAGGAAUUAACACUUCGCCUGGCACGUGCUGUGAAGUCACUGAAUCCUUUUAAACAGAAAACUGCCAUGGUUGGA